rnacentral:rRNA from 1 species
UACGAAGGGGGCUAGCGUUGUUCGGAAUCACUGGGCGUAAAGAGCGCGCAGGCGGUCAGAUAAGUCGAAUGUGAAAGCCCCCGGCUCAACUGGGGAGGGUCACGCGAUACUGAUCGACUGGAAGGCAGGAGAGGGUAGUGGAAUUCCCGGUGUAGUGGUGAAAUGCGUAGAUAUCGGGAGGAACACCAGUGGCGAAGGCGACUACCUGGCCUGUUCUUGACGCUGAGGCGCGAAAGCUAGGGGAGCAAACGGGG